CCGCCGUGGAUGAUGCCUUGCGAUUUGACGCUCUGCUCGCCACCGAGGCUGGCGUUUUCCAGCAACAGGGUGGCAAAGCCCUGGCGGCGCA
rnacentral:tRNA from 1 species